CCCUGGGAUUCUCUUACCUGUGACUCCUUCAGAGAAGCCCCUCACCUUUUGGCUGCUUGGGUCACUACCUGUGCCUGUCCAUCCACACCAGGGGAGGCUGUUGUCCUUGGACUCGGGCUAACGUUGGCCUGAAUAGGCCCAUUCCAUUUAGGUCACCUCAACACACCAACUCAGAUCUACUGCCUCUGCUGUGGGGCUACGCAUGCUCAGCAUCCCUCAUCUGCUCAAAUAGGCCCUGGGACCUGCAGAGUCAUGGUGAAAACAGGAGGUACCGUGGAACCUGGAUGAUGAAGAGUCCAAAGAAGAGGAUUUCCCCUACUUGCCUCCCACCCCACCUAGCACGAUCCAUUGCAGCCCAAAACCUGCGCUAACACCAGGCGCAAGUUUCAGUGUAUAGAGAUUGUACACAAGUGCAGGGCAAAAGACCUGAAGCCAAUGGAGGAAUUUCCUGAGGCUCCUUCUCCACCACUAAAGCUGGGCACCACUGCAUCUCACUGGACAGGACAAGAGUCCUGCCAAGUAUCCAAUUCAUCACAAGCCGACUUCACAUGCCUAGACGAGACACCAGGAUCAUCUCUCUCCUAUGAUCAUCCACAAAAUACCCAGCAUUUUGCAGGUGGCCAAGGAGACUCUGAGAUCACUGUUUUCCUGCACAGUGAGAUUGCCUAGCCCGCAUCCUGCCAGAUGUCCUCUGGCCAUUGAGCUUAUACCACCACUGCUGGAAGUGUCAGGCCC